rnacentral:misc_RNA from 1 species
UCCCGGUUGCCCCGGGCAGUCUCGCCUGAAAUAUACAACAGACGACAAGGGUUGCGCUCGUUGCGGGACUUAACCCAACAUCUCACGACACGAGCUGACGACGGCCAUGCAGCACCUGUCACUAGGUUCCCGAAGGCACAGCUCUAUUUCUAGAGCCUUCCUAGGAUGUCAAGGCUUGGUAAGGUUCUUCGCGUAUCUUCGAAUUAAACCACAUGCUCCACCGCUUGUGCGGGUCCCCGUCAAUUCCUUUGAGUUUUAAGCUUGCGCUCGUACUCCCCAGGCGGCACACUUAACGCGUUAGCUUCUCAGCACAGGGGGUCGAUACCCCAUACUAAUAGUGUGCAUCGUUUACGGCGUGGACUAC